ensembl:lncRNA
UGCUGAUGUUUUGAUUUUUUUCCUGGUGUGGUGGAAAGGGACGUGUUUAUUUUAUGACAACCUGAUAUAUUUACGAAUUGUUUUUAACCGAUAAUAAUUGAUUAUGGCUUUAACUAGUCGUUUCAGUAAUAGAUAGAUUAAUUUCAACAAGUGUCAUGACAUACAACGCUGGUUUUGGUUUCUCUUUGACGCAACAGUUCCUUAACUCUCACUUCCGUUAUCGUGUAACAUCGGGACACAACAUCAGGAGUCUGUGUAUUGGGAAUCCAACCAAUACACAGACUCACGAUGUUGUGUCCCAGAGCUGGUUAUCGUGGUGUCUUGCACACGCAGUCAAGCCCAAUGCAGAGCAGGUUAUCUUGGUGUCUUGCACACGCAGUCAAGCCCAAUGCAGAGCUGGUUAUCGUGGUGUCUUGCACACGCAGUCAAGCCCAAUGCAGAGCAGGUUAUCGUGGUGUCUUGCACACACAGCCAAGCCCAAUGCAGAGCAGGUUAUCGUGGUGUCUUGCACACGCAGUCAAGCCCAAUGCAGAGCAGGUUAUCGUGGUGACUUGCACACGCAGUCAAGCCCAAUGCAGAGCAGGUUAUCGUGGUGACUUGCACACGCAGUCAAGCCCAAUGCAGAGCAGGUUAUCUUGGUGUCUUGCACACGCAGUCAAGCCCAAUGCAGAGCAGGUUAUCGUGGUGUCUUGCACACACAGCCAAGCCCAAC